AGCUGGUGGGAAGGUGGUGAGUUAUCUCAAUUAAUUGUUCAUAGUCAGUUAUAGAUCGACCUCCUUGUUCUACUCUCUCCCUCCUUCUCACUACCGUACUUGACUAGUCUUGA
ensembl:misc_RNA Y_RNA Y RNA